rnacentral:tRNA from 1 species
GGAGAGGUGUCCGAGUUGGUUUAAGGAGUUAGUCUCGAAAACUAAUAUACGGGGAACCGUAUCGAGGGUUCGAAUCCCUCCCUCUCCG